UAUCUUAGUGUCGAAAUCGAAAAUAUCUUUUUCAUAAAAACUUCAUUCUUUGCUUUAUCUUGUUCGCAAAGCUCUGCAAUGAAAAAGGAACAAAGCUCUGCAAUGAAAAUUAAAUAAUUUACGGCAUAAUUGUUGAUCUCGUUUCAACCGGUUAUUCGAAGCUUCUAAAAGAUGGAAGAAUGGGAGGAAAAUGAAUACAUUGUUGUAGCAGGAUCUGAAUUCUAAAGAGAUGGAAGCCUUAUCAUUGGAUUUCUUGCAAAAAAAAUGAGCGAUUCACUCAGCAAAUAUCUGCAGAUCUAGGUUACUAGGGAAAGAUUAUCAAAGUUGAAGCUCAUUCAGAAAUUACUUUGGUUUUGAAGCUCCAUAAAAAUUGAACUUAAUGAGAUUGAAAGAAGACAUGUUUCUUCCAGUCGGUGCAGACCUUGGGUGGUUGGGAAGGUGAACUUGGUUAAUGUCACCAGCUUCUUGAAGAUGAUAUUUUUAAUAAUUCGGCUUGGAAUCAGAGAUAUUUCGUAGUGACAAAAUCUUCUCUCUUUGGAGGCCUUCAUACAAUGAGCAUAAGGUUGUCAGUGACGGGAUUCAAGCUCUUAUUUUUGAAACUUUAGCCACUAUGAUGAAGCAUUUAUUGGAAUGUCAAAGCGGUCUUACAUGGAGGUGGUAAUGAAUGGUUUAAACUCAGUUGAUGUUGGUCCAAUCUCUGCAUUAGUGUUUCAUUUCCAGACAUCCAGGUACUGUUAAAUUCUACAAUGAUUUCAACAAUCAACUUCUUGCGGCUUUGAAAAAUUGAAAUUUGAUAAGCAACUCAUGAUGGAGAACGUAUGAAAGAUAAUUACUGAAGCAGAUGGUUACCAAUCACAUCUUACCGCCCCUGAACAAGGAUAUAGCGGUCUCAUUGAAUCUUCGUUAAUUACUAUUAGAACUCGUGCAGAGGUAGCAAUUGAUGCAUUAGGCAUUACUUUAACUCACUGCCUAUAUUCCCUGUCAAACAUAGUUGUACACACUAGUGUAAAUAAACAUUUUUAAAAAUUGAAAAUUAUAUAGUCAUAUGGGUACUCUUUUUGU